CCGUUGCAAGGGACUCCGAAGAGCUGUGGCAAGUGGUGAAAAGCCAAUCUAACCUGGAGAUAGCUGGUCUUCUGCGAAACCCGUUUUAGCGGGUCGCCCAUUUAUUGAAAUUAAAUUCGUUACUAGACGGUACGGCACUGGAAGCCACGCGGCUUUUGCUGCAUAAUCGGGGGGCUGUCAUGGCUCUAUCGAUGGCUUCUAACCCCGGAAAUGUAUAGUAUACAAUGAUGGGCAAUCAGACGUAUCGUGAUAAGGCGAUUCGUCAAAAGGGCAACAGCCCAGAACAGGUGUGAAGGUCCCUAACGAGCUACUGAGUGAACACAAGGCAGUCCUUACCAGUGUCUCUCCACAAAGUGGGCUUGGAGGCAGCCACCUUUUAGCGAUAGCGUAACAGCUCAGUGGUCUGAGCCUCCCUGUACAAAAGGGUAUAUUGCCUGGUGAGGGCGCCAAAAAUGUAACGGGUCUAUAGUAGUUGUCUCUCUGUUCCAGCUUUGGAUAUGGAGGGAGUGGCAGUUUCUUCACUGUCUCACCGAAACCCUGUCCUAGAUGUAAAAUUCUAGGGGUAGCAGAAUACCCAGCAAAUGGAAUGAAGCUUGCUCAUUGAGCCGGUGGACAUAGCUGGGCUAAGAAUGCUGACAUGAGUAGCCUAAAAGGAGGGUAAUUCCCUCUUCGCCGAAAGCAGAAGGGUUUCAUUUGUAAGGUUUAUACCUAGAUGAUUAAAGCAGCGGCCUCUAAGGUUCAGAGUAACAAAUUAGUUCCGAUGAGUAACUCUUCUAUAGGGCAGUAACCUUCCUUAUAAGUUUACCUUCAAGUAAUUAGAGGUAUACUUCAAAGAGUAAGGUUCAGGAAAGAGCCCUAUAGUAACUUAAAACCGUACCCUAAACCGACACAGGUCUGCAAGUAGAGCAUACUAAGGCGUAGAGAUAAUCGUCUUGAAGGAACUCGGCAAAAUGACCCCGUAACUUCGGGAGAAGGGGUGCCACUAAUAAGUGGCGGCACUAAACAGGGGGGCGCGACUGUUUACUUAAAACACCGGACUCUGCUAACACUAGCGUGGAUGUAUAGAGU
rnacentral:rRNA from 1 species